ensembl:lncRNA
UUAGGUCCUGGAUCCAGUGGUGUAAUAGUUGGACCGGCUGUUGGACUCAGUUUAAUCUUGUUGCUCAUUAUCAUACUUAUCCUGUUCCUGAGCUACAAGAAGAACAAAGGUACAGGAUCUCGGUCUCCCCCUACUGGACAUCAGGAGAACACUAACCAGACCACGGGCCAGAGGCAGAGUUGGACUGGGCCUGAGAGCUCUCUUGCAGGAACCUCACUGCUGCAAGCAGGAGGUGAUCUGAUUUAUGCCAAUGUUGGUAACAGGAUUACAGGU